UUGACACCGCCGUUUUUUUGACCUACAUUCCUCGGUAAAGGGUGAGGGAGGCGAACCUCCCUCCUGCGUCUUUGUUAAUAUGCCGGGAAAGCGAUUAUUAACAGAAUCAGCAGCAUGAUGACGUAGCUCAUCAUCGUCCCUUUCCUUAUC
rnacentral:sRNA from 1 species